ACGAGAAUAUGCUGUAUACACCACGCAUGUGCAAUUUGCGCGCGAAUUUUUAAAUCUCGAUAGCUAAUCGCGGUUUGUGUUCUGUGUGCGACUUUUCGUGUGAUUGUCUGAAUGGUACAUUUUGCGUGGCUAGCAUAGUUUUAUAAAAAACGAUGAUGUCAAAAGUGGAUUUUAAGAGCUGAAGUAGGGUGAUGUGGGUGUGACGGGUAUUCGUGAUUGUGAUGGUGUGACAAUGUGGCGGAGCGUGUGACGCAGCGAGCCGAUGCGUCGCGGGAGCGUGUACAGCGUAAGCGAAGGCGUGGAGCGGUGCACCUGCGCUAGGUAGCGCGGGCGUGGGUGCGGGUGCGGGUGCAGCCAUGGCCGGCUGAUGGACGCGGGCUGGUGGUCGCCAUCGCCGUCGGCCUCGCCGCCGCCGCCGCCCCGCGCCCCUCCGCCCCGCUGCCGCUGUCGCCCGCUCUCCACCAGCUACAACUGCUUGCCGC